rnacentral:rRNA from 1 species
GAACUUAAGCAUAUCAAUAAGCGGAGGAAAAGAAACCAACAGGGAUUACCUCAGUAACGGCGAGUGAAGCGGUAACAGCUCAAAUUUGAAAGCUGCCAACAGGCCGCAUUGUAAUUUGUAGAAGAUGCUUUGGGUGUUGACCUAGUCUAAGUUCCUUGGAACAGGACGUCAUAGAGGGUGAGAAUCCCGUAUGUGAUUAGUGUCAGCCCCCGUGUAAAGCUCUUUCGACGAGUCGAGUUGUUUGGGAAUGCAGCUCAAAAUGGGUGGUAAAUUUCAUCUAAAGCUAAAUAUUGGCCAGAGACCGAUAGCGCACAAGUAGAGUGAUCGAAAGAUGAAAAGCACUUUGGAAAGAGAGUUAAACAGUACGUGAAAUUGUUGAAAGGGAAGCGCUUGCAAUCAGACUUGCAGGCAGUCGAUCAUCCGAGGUUCUCCCCGGUGCACUCGAUUGUCUUCAGGCCAGCAUCGGUUUCGGUGGUGGGAUAAAGGCUGUGGGAAUGUGGCUCUUCGGAGUGUUAUAGCCCACGGUGCAAUGCCGCCUACCGGGACCGAGGACCGCGCCUCGGCUAGGAUGCUGGCGUAAUGGUUGUAAGCGACCCGUCUUGAAACACGGACCAAGGAGUCUAACAUCUAUGCGAGUGUUUGGGUGUCAAACCCAUACGCGUAACGAAAGUGAACGGAGGUGAGAACCCUUUAGGGUGCAUCAUCGACCGAUCCUGAUGUCUUCGGAUGGAUUUGAGUAAGAGCAUAGCUGUUGGGACCCGAAA